AACCAGCUCUUCAAGUGGUCGGGACAAUUAUUGGGCUUAAAGUGUCCGUAGCCGGUUUGGUAAGUCCCUGGUAAAACCUGGUAGCUUAACUAUCAGUUCGCUAGGGAAACUAUCUAGCUAGAGGGCGGGAAAGGUCUGAGGUACUCCAGGGGUAGCGGUGAAAUGCGAUAAUCCUUGGGGGACCACCAGUGGCGAAAGCGUCAGACUGGAACGCGCCUGACGGUGAGGGACGAAAGCCAGGGGAGCGAACGGG
rnacentral:rRNA from 1 species